rnacentral:rRNA from 1 species
GUGCCAGCCGCCGCGGUAAUACCGGCAGCCCGAGUGAUGGCCGAUCUUAUUGGGCCUAAAGCGUCCGUAGCUGGCUGCGCAAGUCCAUCGGGAAAUCCACUCGCCCAACAGGUGGGCGUCCGGCGGAAACUGUGUGGCUUGGAACCGGAAGGAUCAGAGAGUACGUCCGGGGUAGGAGUGAAAUCCCGUAAUCCCGGACGGACUACCGAUGGCGAAAGCACUCUGAGAAGACGGCUUCGACAGUGAGGGACGAAAGCUCGGGUCUCAAACCGGAUUAGAAACCCUAGUAGUCC